UCGAUGAUGCCGGUUGAGCAGAUAGUUUAAUCAAAUGACGGAAAUAUCGAAAAGAUGUAAGCAUAAAGAGGAGGAAUAAAGGAAUAUUUGUCGGGUAGAAAAUAGUAGAGUAAAAAUGAGCAAUAACUUCUCAACUGCAUAGUGAGUAAAUAGACCACGAAGUGGACAAUCCAGCAGAUCGUGAAGAAGCAUCUAAGGAGUGAAAAUUCGUCAACAUAGUUGUUGCUGUUGAAGUUAAGAGUCUGAAACAUAGGUGGCAGAUCCUCUUUUUUUUUUCAAGAAAUUUUUCUUCAACUUUGACCCGAUUGUAAUUGAGGUUGCUAAUA